AUGCAUGCUUUUACAGUAUGAAAAUUGGUGAUUUAUAAUAACUUAGCAAAUCGCAUAGUGAAAACAGGCGAUAAAUCAUUCAAGUUUCUGACCUAUCAGCUUUCGACGGUAUGGUAUUGGCUUACCGUGGCAGUGACGGUUAACGGGGGAUUAGGGUUCGAUUCCGGAGAGGGAGCCUGAGAAACGGCUACCACAUCUAAGGAAGGCAGCAGGCGCGCAAAUUACCCAAUUCUAACAGUUUGAGAGAGGUAGUAACAAGAAAUAACAAUACAAGGCAGUUAAAAUGCUUUGUAAUUGGAAUGAUAGAAAUUUAAACCCUUUUUAAAGUAUCAAUUGGAGGGCAAGUCUGGUGCCAGCAGCCGCGGUAAUUCCAGCUCCAAUAGCGUAUAUUAAAAUUGUUGCAGUUAAAAAGCUCGUAGUUGAAGUUCUGCUAAAAGUAACCGGUCUGCUUUGAAUAAAAGUGGUAUCUUGGUAUGUAUUUAGCAAUGAUGUCCUUUGAAGUGUUUUUUACUUUAUUGUAAUAAAGCAUAUUCAGGACUUUUACUUUGAGAAAAUUAGAGUGUUUCUAGCAGGCCAACGCUUUGAAUACUGCAGCAUGGAAUAAUAAG
rnacentral:rRNA from 1 species